UACGGAGGGAGCUAGCGUUGUUCGGAAUUACUGGGCGUAAAGCGCGCGUAGGCGGCUUUGUAAGUUAGAGGUGAAAGCCCGGGGCUCAACCCCGGAACUGCAUUGGAUACUGCCCUGCUAGAGUACUGGAGAGGGAACUGGAAUUUACGGUGUAGCAGUGAAAUGCGUAGAGAUCGUAAGGAAGGCCAGUGGCGAAGGCGAGUUCCUGGACAGUUACUGACGCUGAGGCACGAAGGCCAGGGGAGCAAACGGG
rnacentral:rRNA from 1 species